CGCUUCCGAGGAGCGUUGCGACGGGUAAUCGCUGAAAUUUGCCCGCCAGGCUCGGAGCAUUCAAUCCGGACGGUUCGAAGGCAUAUCAAAUGCCCGCUGAGCCACCGCAUCGAACGGCGCUCACGUCAA
rnacentral:ncRNA from 1 species